UUGACUGCGGUCUUACUGAGACUAUGGUUGCAUACCUUUUCCAAGGAUCCUUCAAAAAGCAGGUUAAAUUCAACCAAUUUGUGUCAAGGAUGAAGGAAUCUUCAGUGACGCUGACUCUACAGACUGUCUCUCCAGAAGACUGGCAACCAUCUACUUCGUCAACUUCAAUAAGGUAUCCCACAAAUUCUGAAUAUGUGCAAGCUGUGAAGACGCUGGUAAUGAAGUAUCCUUUCCUCAAGGAUCGUGAGGGAAAUGGUUAUGGACCAUGCGUCCAAGGAGAGGAUUUAUUAUCCAUAGACGCCCACUUAAAGGUCUUACAGUGCCAAUAUCAGAAGAUGCAACCAGAUACCAUGGUGGUUCAUAACCGUAUGCAGCAAAUGUUUGCUUGGCGGCAAAAAGAAAUUGCAGAUGGUAUGCCUGUGGAGGAUGUGUUGAAGAAGUACCCCUUCUUAGGGAUGCCUACUGGUCUGUGCAACGAACUCGGGUGGAUCCAACCAACAACGGGUAAUGUAAGCCAGCGAUUUCGUGAAGGGCUCUCAUGUGUUGCAGCAAAGGUGAUUGACCUUACACGAGGAAAACCCCACUCUACCAGCUCUACCUUGAUGCAAGAGAGGAGGCUCUCACUGAUGACCUACCAG
ensembl:lncRNA